rnacentral:tRNA from 1 species
GGCGCCAUCGUCUAGCCAGGCCUAGGACACCAGGUUUUCAUCCUGGCGACUGGGGUUCAAAUCCCCAUGGCGUCACCA